rnacentral:rRNA from 1 species
UACGUAGGUGGCUAGCGUUGUCCGGAUUUACUGGGCGUAAAGAGCGCGCAGGCGGUCGUUCAAGUCGAGUGUGAAAGCCCCCGGCUCAACUGGGGAGGGUCACUCGAUACUGAUCGACUCGAGGCAGGAGAGGGAAGCGGAAUUCCCGGUGUAGUGGUGAAAUGCGUAGAUAUCGGGAGGAACACCAGUGGCGAAGGCGGCUUUCUGGCCUGUUCUUGACGCUGAGGCGCGAAAGCUAGGGUAGCAAACGGG